rfam:Pacificibacter marinus strain CECT 7971 genome assembly, contig: 0004
GGCCCAACACAACGGCUUCCUGACGUGAUGGGCGACAUAAAACUGGAGCA